GACUAAACUUUUUAUCCCGGUUGGAACCUCCAACCGGGAUAAAAGGGUGCCGCCACCGACAGCCCUCCACUAGCCGUUGCAACCGGGACUAAAGGGGGGCCUUUAGUCCCGGUUGCAAUUACCAACCGGGACUAACUCUCCCCUCCAUUUUUGCCUACCGUGGCGCACCCCCUUUUGUCCCGGGCCAACUUUAAACCGGGACAAAAG
rnacentral:lncRNA from 1 species